rnacentral:rRNA from 1 species
GUCCGGAUUUACUGGGCGUAAAGAGCUCGUAGGCGGCUUGUCACGUCGAUUGUGAAAGCCCGAGGCUUAACCUCGGGUCUGCAGUCGAUACGGGCUAGCUAGAGUGUGGUAGGGGAGAUCGGAAUUCCUGGUGUAGCGGUGAAAUGCGUAGAUAUCGAGAGGAACACCAGUGGCGAAGGCGAGUCUCUGGACGACUCCUGACACUGAGGCACGAAAGCUAGGGGAGCAAACAGG